UCUGGAGUAGGAAAUAAAGCGUUAAGUGUCAGUGGAACGGAAUGUGAACACUGAACGAAAAGCCUGAGCUUGCGGUUUUAUUUCCGCAUUCGCCACG
rfam:Lactobacillus mellifer strain Bin4 genomic scaffold Bin4_scaffold1, whole genome shotgun sequence.